rnacentral:sRNA from 1 species
UACAUUUUGCAAGCCAGGAUAGUUUCUAUCGCGUUCUUAAAUCAUCACCCCCUCUUCAGCUUCAUACUGCCAAAAGAGCAUCGAUAGCUAAGCAUCAUUGCGCGGAGUUACGGGGUAGCAGAGGCAUGUUAUCUUAUAGUUAUACAAAAGAAUUUGUGCACCUGUUUGACCCGGCAAUUUCUAAUGCGCCAGGUAGCUAGUUGUUUACAUUCCACGCUUCAGAAUCACCAUUUACCAUGCCGCGUAUCCUUUGUGGGUGGAAGUAGAAACAAACGAAGAAAAGAAGUAGAAAGAGCACUUUCAUCAUCAGCAAUAACUUAAUUUUAUUUCUACUCUGUCAAUGAAAAGAAAAAGCCUCGUUUGAAUCUCGAAACAAAUAACCCAUUCAAUCGCCAGCUACUCAUACUAUCACUGCACUGCACUUUGAAAUAUAUAAUUGCAUGCGUCCUUCUCCCUCCACUUCCAUUGCCACAAUUCCCCGCCUCUUGUUUUUUAAGAACUCACACGGCAAACUCACUGUUUCAAAGGAGGAGUGGGAGUGAGGAUAGGAGAAACAGAAUUAAAGCAAAUAAUCUGCUGAAAGAAGACAAGAAAGAAGAAAAAUGAAAGAAAACGAAAAUAAAACGAAGCGG